rnacentral:rRNA from 1 species
GAUGAACGCUGGCGGCGUGACUAAUACAUGCAAGUCGAGCGAACGGAUGAGAAGCUUGCUUCUCUGAUGUUAGCGGCGGACGGGUGAGUAACACGUGGAUAACCUACCUAUAAGACUGGGAUAACUUCGGGAAACCGGAGCUAAUACCGGAUAAUAUUUUGAACCGCAUGGUUCAAAAGUGAAAGACGGUCUUGCUGUCACUUAUAGAUGGAUCCGCGCUGCAUUAGCUAGUUGGUAAGGUAACGGCUUACCAAGGCAACGAUGCAUAGCCGACCUGAGAGGGUGAUCGGCCACACUGGAACUGAGACACGGUCCAGACUCCUACGGGAGGCAGCAGUAGGGAAUCUUCCGCAAUGGGCGAAAGCCUGACGGAGCAACGCCGCGUGAGUGAUGAAGGUCUUCGGAUCGUAAAACUCUGUUAUUAGGGAAGAACAUAUGUGUAAGUAACUGUGCACAUCUUGACGGUACCUAAUCAGAAAGCCACGGCUAACUACGUG